rnacentral:rRNA from 1 species
AGCAGUCGCCACGGUAAUACGAAGGGGGCUAGCGUUGCUCGGAAUUACUGGGCGUAAAGGGAGCGUAGGCGGACAUUUAAGUCAGGGGUGAAAUCCCAGAGCUCAACUCUGGAACUGCCUUUGAUACUGGGUGUCUUGAGUGUGAUAGAGGUAUGUGGAACUCCGAGUGUAGAGGUGAAAUUCGUAGAUAUUCGGAAGAACACCAGUGGCGAAGGCGACAUACUGGAUCAUUACUGACGCUGAGGCUCGAAAGCGUGGGGAGCAAACAGGAUUAGAUACCCGCGUAGUCCCUGUCUCUUAUAC